AGCUCACUGCAGUCAACUCUGCAGUCUUCACCGUCAAGGCCAUCGAUGCUGAUGGAGACACCAUCACCUACAUCAUCGACAGAGCCUCGCCUGAUGCCAGCUACUUCAGGAUAGACCUGCCCAACAGUGGUAAAGUGAUCCUGGACAAGCCAUUGGACUAUGAGACCAAAACCCAGCUGCAGCUAGUCAUCUACGCUGUGGAAACCAACACCAAGGAGUGGUACAACACUUCCGCCUCUCUGACCGUGAACGUGGAGGACGGGGACGACCAGUACCCUCAGUUCCUACCAUGCACACCCAUCUCCCAGGACCACAACCACACAGU